UACAUAGGUCCCAAGCGUUGUUCGGAUUCAUUGGGCGUAAAGGAUGCGUAGGCGGCGAGGUAAGUUGGAUGUGAAAUCCCGGGGCUCAACCUCGGAACUGCAUUCAAUACUGCUUUGCUAGAGUACUGGAGAGGAGAUUGGAAUUCACGGUGUAGCAGUGAAAUGCGUAGAUAUCGUGAGGAAGACCAGUGGCGAAGGCGAAUCUCUGGACAGUAACUGACGCUGAGGCAUGAAGGCUAGGGGAGCAAACGGG
rnacentral:rRNA from 1 species